CCCAGCACUCCACGCUCAGACCUGGGGGCCAACAGCCUAAGGCUGUCCACUCCUUUUUCCAGCCCCAGAGAGGUUGAAAAUACAGUCUUCAAGUGCCCCCUGGUGGCUGACAAGCAGAAUAACCAAGUCAGCAUUAUCAGAUCUAAGAUGCAGAUGAGGACACUGAGGCAGAAGAGGCAGUCUUACCUGAUAAUUCAGUGUCAUAGCAGGGGAGCUACAAAGAACUGAUAUGUCCAAGAUACCAGUGUUCGAGGAGGAGCAAAGGACAAUUUCUACCCUGUAUAACCGGUUCCUAAGUAAUGUUAACAAAUUAGGCAUAAAUUACUGAAGGAAAACAGAAAACAAGUUUAGGGAAAAUUAUUUUAAAAUGUAAAUUCAUGGGGGGAACAAUAUGUUGGUUUAUUUUUCUUUCUCUGAGAUAUGUGUAAAGAAAAGGUCAGGUUUUUGUAGCUGUAACUAGGCCAAAAGGUAUGAUGGAAAGAACCAAGGGAUUCCUAGCUCCUUUCUAACAGGUAAGCAGUUUGGGGAAUGAGUAGUUUCUAAGAAUAAUUUGCAAACAUAUUUACUUAUUUACAUUUAAAUUAUUUUUAGUAUUUUUGUGUGAGAAAACAAUAGGUCAUCUAAUUUACCUGGUUUCACUUAAACUUUCUCAAAGUAAAUGGGGAAAAAAAUGUAGGUCCAUCUAAGAUAAGAAUAUAAUGUAGUUUCCUGACACUAUUACAUAACGUCGAUGUUAACAUACUUCCUUUCUUUCCUUUGCCUUCUGUAAACAAGGCAUUAAAGGGAGAAAUUAGGUGGUUGCAGGAUGAAUCUUAAUUAUGGAUUACCCUGAAUAUGAAGUUAUGGUGCUACUACAUUCUUAAUUAGACAUUCAAGAAGACAGAGCUUUGUUUAUUUUUAAUAAGCA